rnacentral:rRNA from 1 species
UACGUAGGGUGCAAGCGUUAAUCGGAAUUACUGGGCGUAAAGCGUGCGCAGGCGGUUAUGUAAGACCGGUGUGAAAUCCCCGGGCUUAACCUGGGAACUGCAUUUGUGACUGCAUAGCUAGAGUACGGUAGAGGGGGAUGGAAUUCCGCGUGUAGCAGUGAAAUGCGUAGAUAUGCGGAGGAACACCGAUGGCGAAGGCAAUCCCCUGGACCUGUACUGACGCUGAGACGCGAAAGCGUGGGGAGCGAACAGG